rnacentral:rRNA from 1 species
CAGGAUGAACGCUAGCUACAGGCCUAACACAUGCAAGUCGAACGGGGAUUUGUUUCGGCAGAAUCCUAGUGGCGAACGGGUGAGUAACGCGUAGGCAACCUGCCCUCCGGCCGGGGACAACACUCCGAAAGGGGUGCUAAUACCGGAUACGAAGAUAAUACCGCAUGGUGAUAUUUUGAAAGAUGGCCUCUAUUUAUAAGCUAUCGCCGGGGGAUGGGCCUGCGUCCGAUUAGCUGGUUGGUGGGGUAACGGCCUACCAAGGCGACGAUCGGUAGCCGGUCUGAGAGGAUGAACGGCCACAUUGGGACUGAGACACGGCCCAGACUCCUACGGGAGGCAGCAGUGGGGAAUCUUCCGCAAUGGGCGCAAGCCUGACGGAGCAACGCCGCGUGAGUGAGGAAGUUCUUCGGAACGUAAAGCUCUGUUGUUCCUGACGAACCUCCCCUCUAUCAACAACGGAGGGGACUGACGGUAGGGAACGAGGAAGCCACGGCUAACUACGUGCCAGCAGCAGC